rnacentral:rRNA from 1 species
UACGGAGGGUGCAAGCGUUAUCCGGAUUCACUGGGUUUAAAGGGUGCGUAGGCGGGCAGGUAAGUCCGUGGUGAAAUCUCUGAGCUUAACUCAGAAACUGCCAUGGAUACUAUUUGCCUUGAAUAUUGUGGAGGUAAGCGGAAUAUGUCAUGUAGCGGUGAAAUGCUUAGAUAUGACAUAGAACACCAAUGGCGAAGGCAGCUUACUAGACAGUUAUUGACGCUGAGGCACGAAAGCGUGGGGAUCAAACAGG